rnacentral:rRNA from 1 species
GGUUAAGCGACUAAGCGUACACGGUGGAUGCCCUGGCAGUCAGAGGCGAUGAAGGACGUGCUAAUCUGCGAUAAGCGUCGGUGAGGUGAUAUGAACCGUUAUAACCGGCGAUUUCCGAAUGGGGAAACCCAGUGUGUUUCGACACACUAUCAUUAACUGAAUCCAUAGGUUAAUGAGGCGAACCGGGGGAACUGAAACAUCUAAGUACCCCGAGGAAAAGAAAUCAACCGAGAUUCCCCCAGUAGCGGCGAGCGAACGGGGAGGAGCCCAGAGCCUGAAUCAGUGUGUGUGUUAGUGGAAGCGUCUGGAAAGGCGCGCGAUACAGGGUGACAGCCCCGUACACAA